GCAACUUCAGCAGCAUAUACUAAAAUUGGAAUGAUACAGAGAAGAUUAGCAAGGAUGACAUGAACAUUUGUAAAGUGUUCCAUAUUUUU
rnacentral:snRNA from 1 species